UCUAGCAUUGGGGCAGUGGAGUAUUUAAGCACAUAGUUAAUUUAAACCAGGUGAUGAGGUUUAGGUGGUCAGAGGAAAUGGCUGCUGUGAAGAGACCCUGAAAAAUUGGUGCUUUCAGGUACUGCUCUGUAGAAUAGUAAUGUGUCAAAUUUGAAAAAAAAAAUCCUUUCCUGACCAUGUUCUUGGGAGAAAAAAGGAGAGAUUUAGAUACCGUUCCAGCAACAUUUGUGGAAAGCUCAUGAGAACUGGAAAAUACUUCAUUUGUAAGAGGAAAAUGGGGAGUCACAUCUAGCAAAUACACAGGUUUUUAGUAGGACUGAUAAGACGACACUAGUGCUUUCCAAGUUACAUGGAAGAAUUUUUCAGCCAAGGACACAACUGAAAGCUAAGGACCCAUGGCAGAAUUAUCUGAUUUUACUUGGCAUUUGUUUAACUGUUGUGUAUAUUGCUGAAGGCCAUUUGCUCUGACAAGAAAUGUCAAAUAAACCAGUAAUAAAUCAAAACAGGAGAUGGAAUACAGUUCUCUUCCCUUUUUUCGUGCUUUGGCAAGGAGCAACAUCCAUAUCAAGUUAGAAAAGAUGAAGAAAAAUGUAUCAACUGCUUAAAAAUCAUCAGCAUUUUUAAUCUGAUAACAAGAUCCUGGAUAGUUAAAAACCAGAGAGGAAGGAUUAAUACUGGUGGAACAGUUCAAACAAAGACAUCCUUCCCUGUUUCUGGCAACCAGACUAUCUUUAAAGCAGCACAUGGUAAUACUGCAAAAUCUGAAUGCUGGAUUCAGUGAGAAACAAGAAGCUUUUGAACAACAAAAGCCUGGAUCAAAUCUUGAGGUUUUGCUCUCAAACCUGGAUACCAGACUGCCUGCAGCAAUGGAAUUCCCUGCUUCCUAACCUGAGCAGGGGCAGAGGUUACUUUCCACCUUCCAUGUUUGAUCAGUGGCCUGGAUUCAGAGAGGGAAGAGCAGAAGAAUCUAAAAGCUGUCCCUAGCUAGCAACAAACCUUGAUGUAACAGCACAGGAGGAAAGCAAAUAGCUGGGACCUGUUCCUAAAGUGCUUAAGCAGUUUCUGUGCUCCCAGAAAAAUGCAGUUUUGCCUUGGGAGACUGAGGAGUCAGGAUCAAUUACGCCACAGCUCUGCUGAACUCUAGAUUUUAAGGUCAACAUCUGAAUUUCUCCUCCCAUGAUGAGCAACUUCCUCUCACCAAGCAUGGAAAGGCAUAUUCAGUAUGACUCUGGGCCAAAAAACAAAAUUAUUCAUGGCUAGCCUGAGUUAUGAAAGAUUUACUUCAAAGAACAAUUGAAAACUGCUGAUGGAAUUAUAAUGAAAAUAUUGAGAAUAUUUUUGAUGUAAGCAGAUGGUUGCAUGACUGUGGUCUAGAAACCGGAAUUGGCAUGAACAGUAUUUAUAUUUCCUCUUCAAGAAACAAAAAUGGCCCUUUGAUUAAAGCUCCAUGUUUGCUUUUCUUGAAAACCAAACUAAAUGCAGGUUGGUUCACUAAUGAAUUGUCCCAUGAUCCUCAGGAUUAUGAAGUUUGUCCCACAAAAACCAGCAAGUGUCCCCACAGGCAUUAUGUUCUUUUUCCAGCCUGCUGGCAGAGCCAGAGCUGGGCUGAGCUGCUGCUUAGCACCUUGCUAGAAAAAAAAGACUUCUCCAGUCAGUGAUGCUGUGUGGUGUCCACUAACAGGGUGUUCAAACCAGAACCUGAUCCUGAAGGUGGAAGCACUAGUCGUGUAAGAAACUGCUGGUUGAUCUCAUAAAGUGGAUUUAUCUCCUCUCUGAUCCUGCACUUUUCCAUGUGCUACUGUAUUAAUUCAUUCCUACCUCGAGCCUGGCCUGCAUUUCCAUGCUGCUGUUGCAACAUGCCACUUUCUGAGGUUCAGUGUAUUUCAGGAUUUCUUGGAGAAAUCCACUGGUGAGUUCAGUUCUGGUUUUGAAAUCAGAAGGCCCUGAGAUUCAGACAGUGCUAAGCUUAUUUUAGCAUGCUAUGCAAAAGGGACUUCUAUAGCUCAACCUUUGGUUUAGAAAUAUAUUUAGAAAUAAUUCAAGCAGGGCUAUGCAUUCCCAUAUAUUUACCAGAGCCUGAGUGUCUAAUGCCAAAUAUGAACCUCAAACAUUAAGAAAAUAAAAUUUACUUCUAACAAUUUUACCAAAAAUUUUUAUUCUCGUUUCAAAUCAAACAAUAUUUGCUGGGUUUGCACAUCUAUUCUUUGAGUCAGGUGAUUUUUGGUUUUUUUUUACAUUCCUUACUUUUCAUUUAAAAUGCAAAUGAAAUUUUGUUCUCACAGUUACUGAGGAAACAUCACAGCAGUAUUUUCCAAAUGAUGCAACCCAAAUAAAUAAAGCUCAAACCAGAAUGAACCCAAAGGUUCAGAAGCCCUCAUAAUACUAACAAAAAAAAAAUCAGAUAGGAUCAAUCUUAAAAGUAAUUGUUUAAAGCUCUCCAUUUGUUUUAGAAGACAUCACACCAGAAAAGAUUCCUGAGAGACUGAAAUUAAUCUUUUUACUUUUUACUCAACUAGAUCUUGCUGCCUAGGAGAUGCACAACUGGCAUAUGAAAUAGCACAGUGUACCUGAGCUGUAUUUAAAAAUAGAAACCCUAUGAAACAGAGAGGUAAAAGCUUGAAUUAGCAUGAUUAACUCUAUAUCAAUUUUAUUUAUGAUGAAUAAUUCAGAGUAUGCCAAGUCCCUCAUCAGGUUGCCUACCAUAAUCCAUGGGAUUAAACAUGGGUCAGAGAACAAGCAAAAAGUUACAAUACCUUCUUGAAAAUGUCACAUUGUUUUGAGACCAUCUAAUCAAAAAUCAUCCAAAAAUGUAGUGUAGUACCAAACCAAAGUGUUGCCCUGCCAGAAAUGGGAAUCCUGCUGCAUUUCACAUUCUCCCCUCAUGUCAGCAUGGAAAGGUUGCACUGCUGAUGCCUAUAUCCUGCAGUCCUCUCUUCUCCCUGGAGCCUCUCUUCACUGGUGCUGUCUGCCUGAACUGAUCUGUGUUUCUAAAUCCCAGCCAGCACAGUGAUCACGCUCUUCAGCUGUUUAACACAGGGGCAGUAACCACGGUGUAAGUCCUGCUUUGAUGGCCUCUGAGCACUGGGUGUCCUGCUGUGUGUGUUUUCUCCUUCAAGUACCCACAUCAGGCUAAUUACUUACCCAGUGAGCUGUGCUGUCCCUAAUGCUCUGCAGAAUGAGUAGAGCAGCAUCCCCAACCAUUCACUUCUCUUAAAAAUUGAUGGACAAGGCAUUUUCCUCUUGUGAUGUUUUGUACUCUUGCUAGAGCAAGGAACUUCCUCUGAAAUGGGAAUCUCUACCCAGAAGGUUAAUGGUUUCCAACUUGGCAAUUCCCUAUGAAAAAUGCUCACUGCUCUCAACAAAUUUUAAUUCUAACAAUGUAUAAAGAGUGCUUUAAACAGAGAAAGUCAGUAAAACCCUACUCAAGGUGUCAUUUGGACAUUUCAAAAGCCAAAUAAAUAGUGAGACGAUUGGUAGUGAUGUGUUGGUGUAUGUCAGUGCUUAGCUAUAUGCAAUGAAUUAACUCCUUAAUUUGACUAAUUUAAAAUUCAUUAUGUGCACUCAGCUUUCUUAUUUUUUCAAGAGGAAGCCAUGAAUGAAUGCAAAAACUUCAUUCACUUUAACACAUUAAAAAUAUAAAUUACUGAAGUUAGUACUAUUCAUAGAACACCAUUUCUAUUCCUUGUAUACAGAAAUAUAAAAAUGACAAUAAUGUCUGAGCAACUUUCCACUGUGCAUGGUGAUGUUUUUAUUCCCUUUAAAGAGGUAAAGAUGGGGAGGGAAAGAGUUGGUAGAAUUAUUAGUAUAGCUAUACUUGUCUCUGUGAAUGUUUUUGAGAGAACAAUUUGUCAUAUCUGAUGGAAUCAUUAUUGACAUUUGCAAGGACUCUGGUGCAGCCUUUCACCUUUUUAUCUGAAAGAAAGUUCUGUCUUCUGUAGACAUUUAUGUCCCCUUCAUUCUGGAACUAUGGGAGCUCUCCCUUCACUCUGAGGAGGCAAAAACCUCAUGAAAGCCAGGCUUUGCUUCCAAACAGUUUUCAGUAUAGAGCAUUAGAAUUUCCAUUAUCUUGGAGUCAUCUCCAGGCACUGGCCAUGACAACAGGUGGAACAGAAAAAAAGCUACUCCUGGACCCUAAGAAUGAUUUUUGUAUUAUUUAGCUCUAUAGAUGCUAUUCACAACAAGAGGGAAUAUCUUUGCCAAGGUUAAAUAUUCUGAGAACAGAGAAAUUACUUUUAUAAAUACUGCAACAGGCCUAAGGGACUUUUUUUUUUCCUUACACAACAUUAAUUUUAAAAGUAAUCAAAUCUCCUAGGAGUGCAAUGCCACGUGAAGUGACUUAAAGUGUGUCAGAAGAUGAACAGAAAAGUUAACAUUGCCAUUUCAUCUCUGCCAUUGUUUCUGUUAUGCCCAAACUUCACAGCACACAAUAAUGCAUGGAAGAGAUCUGGCUGGCUGACGUCUGUCCAUCCUGAGGCACAAUGAAAGGAAUCAAGAAUAGAGCAGCUGCUUGAGUUCUGAACCAUCUUGUUUUUAUAGGCUCUUACAUAAGCCUUUUUUCCUUCUGACUCUGUAUUUACCAAGUCAAGGGUCUCUCUCAUUGUUCCAUUAGCACAGUACCUGAAUUUACAACAAAACAAGGAAAUAUGGCAAUAAAUCUUAUUAGCUGUUCUUGUACAUGGAACACAGUCCCAAUGGCUCUCCUGAGUGAGCUGCAUCCCUCUCGAGCAGAUAUCAAAGAGAAUAAGAUUAUGUGCAACAAAAGAGAACAACAAACUUUUUUUUCAAAAUGGUGAUAUCUAAACUGCACAGCACGAAUGCCAUUCUUUGUGAAAGAGAGGUUUUUCAAAUGAUCUGUGUAUAGAACCACUGAUAGGAUAUGUGAGAAGAGGGGACAAAGUGUUCCUGCUCUCAUUCCUAUCUCUGUCCCCACCUUCCUGGCAGGAGCCUGAGUGGGCCAAGGCUGCAGGGGCUGCUCCACUGUUUUCAGACCCCACAGCUGAUGAACUUCAAAUGUUAGUCUGACUUCAGUGCAACUCAUUUAAAGGAUCAAUGUUCCCACAGUGCAGUCUGAAGAGAGAAUCUGCAGUCUUUUAAAAGCAUGUUUCUUGCCUUGCUGUGGAUGAGGUACCUGGCUCGUUUGUUCUUAAUAAGUUGCAGCUCUGAAUAUUUCUGACAACAUUGAGAUUGCCUCUGCUGCUUUGUGUACCUGCUGGAUCUGUGACAUGUCUUUGAGCAAGCCUGUCUGCUGGCCACAUUUUAACUUAUAGUUAGGCUGACAUUAUUUAUAGCCCAUUCAAGACAUACAGGUAGGUUUUCAGGUUCUUCUGUUCACCAAGUGAACAUUCAUUGGGACUGAAACCUCCUGAGCUUCUCCUGGCUCUUAAGAGGUUCAGCACUGGGCCAGCAUGAGCUUCCUCAGCACUGUCAGGAAUGAAAUGUUUCUUGGCAUGUGCAGGAGCUGAAUGCUGGGCACCUGGAAAACUUUAAAAUUGAAAUAGGUACCUACUUAAGUUUAAGAGCCUUCUGAGCUGGGCAGCAGCUGAGAAGUUUUUAGUAUCACUGUUUGUAAUUGCAGCUGACUUCUUCCUGCUUUGGAUACCUCAAUACCUUUUUGGGAUCUGGCCCUAAGGAUUUUUUUUUUUAACUUAUGCAUUAAAUAAUAAAGGGCAGGCAAUUAAGAAGUCUUGCUUAACUGGCUCAGCCUCUUGAAGAGAGCUACAAAUCAGCCUUGUUUCCUUCUCCUGAGAAUCAUUAGAUCAUUUCUUACAAGGGCACAGGGAGCCUCUGCAGUGUUUCAUGGCAGAAAGUGCACAGGGCUGCUCUGUGGAGUGCUCUGUGCUGUUGUUUACAAACCAAGUGUGCCACACUGAGCAUCCCAGCUGGAUAUUUAGUUUGAAAAGUGAUAUGUCAGUCGCUAUUUAAUUAGGACCCUGCAGCCCACCUUUCUCAGAUGCAGCAGCUUAUUAAAGCGUUCCCUGAUUGGGAAUAUGCAGAUGUCAUUGGUGGAAGAAAUAGCCGCCUUUAGUUAGAGUGAAAGGACUUUGCCACCUCUAGCCUGGACUUACAGAAACACA